rnacentral:rRNA from 1 species
GACGAACGCUGGCGGCGUGCCUAACACAUGCAAGUCGAACGGAACUGUUUUGAAAGAUUUCUUCGGAAUGAAUUUGAUUUAGUUUAGUGGCGGACGGGUGAGUAACGCGUGAGUAACCUGCCUUCAAGAGGGGGAUAACAUUCUGAAAAGAAUGCUAAUACCGCAUGAUAUAUCGGAACCACAUGGUUUUGAUAUCAAAGAUUUUAUCGCUUGAAGAUGGACUCGCGUCCGAUUAGUUAGUUGGUGAGGUAACGGCUCACCAAGACCGCGAUCGGUAGCCGGACUGAGAGGUUGAACGGCCACAUUGGGACUGAGACACGGCCCAGACUCCUACGGGAGGCAGCAGUGGGGGAUAUUGCGCAAUGGGGGCAACCCUGACGCAGCAACGCCGCGUGAAGGAUGAAGGUUUUCGGAUUGUAAACUUC